rnacentral:misc_RNA from 1 species
UGCAGCUAUCCCUAUUUUCAUAUUUUUGAGGGCUGUCUAACUUAAUUACGGAGUUUUCAUCUUCAUGGAUCUUUAACUCCUCAAGACCCUUGUCCUGCAGUUGAUUAAGAGGACUAGAAGCAACAGAAGCAAUUUCAUUCUCCUCAGCUUGAACAAAGUCCUUAGAUUCCCUCAAAGAUUUUUCAGGCUGAGAUGAAACUUUG